rnacentral:rRNA from 1 species
UGAACGCUGGCGGCGUGCUUAACACAUGCAAGUCGCACGAGAACGCUUUAGCUUGCUAGAGCUAGUAAAGUGGCGCACGGGUGAGUAACGCGUGGGUAAUCUACCUCCGAAUCGGGGAUAACAUUGCGAAAGCGAUGCUAAUACCGGAUAACAUCUUUUUAACUUCGGUUUAAAAGAUCAAAGGUGGCCUCUACAUGUAAGCUUUUGUUUGGAGAUGAGCCCGCGUACCAUUAGCUUGUUGGUAGGGUAACGGCCUACCAAGGCAACGAUGGUUAGCUGGUCUGAGAGGAUGAUCAGCCACACUGGAACUGACACACGGUCCAGACUCCUACGGGAGGCAGCAGUGAGGAAUUUUGCGCAAUGGGGGAAACCCUGACGCAGCAACGCCGCGUGAGUGAUGAAGGCUUUCGGGUCGUAAAGCUCUGUCAAGUGGGAAGAACCUGCUUUUUGGUAAUAUCAUAAAGCACUGACGGUACCACUGAAGGAAGCACCGGCUAACUCC